UUUAGGUAGGUAUCUGGUUCAGAAGGUUACUGAAACUCAGGUUUGUUUGUUUUCUGUAAGGAGAGGAGGGCCAGAGAGGAGAGAGGCAUAAAGCCUUAGAUGAAGAAGGAACUCGAAAGACAACAGCAGCUGCUGACAUAAGGAUCUAAAGGUCCUGUCCAACUGGAGCAUAACCGAUGAUAGGUCUGGAGGAAGAAUGAAUAAUGGAUUAUACAGCAGAAAAGUUGUAUUAUCAGAAAGGCUAGAGAUACCGAGGAGAGAAAUGGGGGAGUUUGGAUGGAGGCAGACACACGGUAGAAAAAAGACAAGGAAACAGGCUCAGAGACGGUCAAGGAUGUACAGAACACAUGUGGCCCAGUGAAAAGCUGCUGGGUAUUUAUAGUCUCAUUGGAUACUACAGCCCAAGUUCUACGUACCUUUUUUUAUCUUUAGAAAGUACACAAAACAGUAGAAUUUAUCAAAUGGUGAAAACAUCCAUAUACAGUUUCCAUCUCUUUUUAGGUAAGUAAAAAUGAUCAACUUUAGGAUACUUUUUCAGAAUUGACAAA
rnacentral:lncRNA from 1 species